rnacentral:tRNA from 1 species
GCGCCUGUAGCUCAGCAGGAUAGAGCAACUGCCUUCUAAGCAGUAGGUUGGGGGUUCGAGUCCCUCCAGGCGUACCA